AAUUCUCAACUUCAAAAGCUUUGUCUUUUUGAAGCUUGGAUGUGAAGGCUUGCUGGCGUUUUAAAUGUUCAGCUCCUUUGAAAAGUAUUAGUGGACCCGUUUGUGUUCAUCCUUAGUGUGAUAAUUAUCUACGCUAUGGCUUUGAAUGCAUGCUCAUUAGAAUCUUCGAGCUGUUUUACUGCAGUCUUGGUGUGGAGAGUUGCAUGAAUUUGCUCUUUCUGUCUCUUGAGUCAGGAUUGUCUGCUUCAAACCGUCUACAUUGUAGACAAUUUUGAACC
rnacentral:misc_RNA from 1 species